rnacentral:rRNA from 1 species
AGAGUUUGAUCCUGGCUCAGAUUGAACGCUGGCGGCGUGCUUAACACAUGCAAGUCGUGCGAGAAAGUUUCCUUCGGGAGAUGAGUAGAGCGGCGCACGGGUGAGUAACGCGUGGGUAAUCUACCCGACAGAUCGGGAUAACAGGCGGAAACGCCUGCUAAUACCGGAUACGCUUCGUAUUUAACUUUACGGGGGAAAGGUGGCCUCUACAUGUAAGCUACCACUGUCGGAUGGGCCCGCGUCUCAUUAGCUUGUUGGUGGGGUAAUGGCCUACCAAGGCAACGAUGAGUAGCUGGUUUGAGAGGAUGAUCAGCCACACUGGGACUGAAACACGGCCCAGACUCCUACGGGAGGCAGCAGUGGGGAAUAUUGCGCAAUGGGGGAAACCCUGACGCAGCGACGCCGUGUGCGGGAAGAAGGCCUUCGGGUCGUAAACCGCUGUCAGGAGGGAAGAAACCAUUAGAGUCGAAUAGGCUCUUUUGCUGACGGUACCUCCAGAGGAAGCACCGGCUAACUCCGUGCCAGCAGCCGCGGUAAUACGGAGGGUGCAAGCGUUAAUCGGAAUCACUGGGCGUAAAGCGUGCGUAGGCGGCGCAGUAAGUCAGGGGUGAAAGCCCUCGGCUCAACCGAGGAAUUGCCUCUGAUACUGCUGUGCUUGAGGCUUGGAGAGGCAGGCGGAAUUCCAGGUGUAGGAGUGAAAUCCGUAGAUAUCUUGAGGAACACCGGUGGCGAAGGCGGCCUGCUGGACAAGUUCUGACGCUGAGGUACGAAAGCGUGGGUAGCAAACAGGAUUAGAUACCCUGGUAGUCCACGCCGUAAACGAUGGAUGCUAGGUGUCGGGCCGUUGGGUUCGGUGCCGUAGUUAACGCGAUAAGCAUCC